CGGGAAUGUGGGGAAACGCGUCGCUUUUCUCAACCAGUCACUGGGGUACGUGAUGACGAUCUGUUUGUCUAUUUCGUGGAAGCUUGGGCUAUUCAACGUUGUUGUUGAUUCUUUCGACGCAACAUUAAGAUAUGCUGCAUGGUUUGACAAUUGUGUGGAUCAUUGUUGUACAAAGAAUUAUCAACCAUAGACUGCUGGAAAAAAUGCAUUUGCAAAUAUGCGACGAUAGGCGCUACACUACGCUAAAUAUUACACGCUAAUGUUAUUUAUAAUAGGAAAAAGACAAAUUUAAAAAAGAAAACAAAGUAAGCUGCUAUAAAGAACAAAUAAGCUCCGAGGCUUCUGCAUACAGGGUCGACUAUAGACGUUACUGCACGCGAUGGAUGACGGUCGUGUGACAAUGUCCGUGCAGAGAGAGACGUUGUGAACUCAGUUUUUGUUCUUCUGGAAUAUUUAAUAAUUCAAUUAUGCCCUUGUCAACAACACUUUGUUUGUCAUAAUGUUGUUGCCAGAUUCAAUUUCAUGAUUCAUGCAAAUUCUGGUUUUGACAACCGGUGUUGAGUCAACAUAUAUAUAUACAAUUUGUACUUAUUUCAGUAAGCUAUUCAUCUAAGUUCAAUUGUAUAUAAUAAAAUAGGUGCCUGUGAUAAUAAUAUAUUUUUUUUAAUUUUGCUGAUUUAUGUUUUACACAGCUGAGCCUAUAUAAGCAAGUCCAAUAGGUAUUUGUGUAUUUUGGGCCAUGUGUCGAACGUGCAUUUACCAUGUGAAAAUGCGCUGCAUUUUUUGGUAUUCCUUAUUUAUUUAUUUAAUUGUGUUGUUUUAUUUAUUGUGUUUUUUUAUUUAUUUUGUUUUUUCUUUGCCUCUUUUAUUCUUUUACUUAUGUCCCGUAGCCGGCCAGAGACAUAGCGGAAAACCGUUGUGCAGAUAUCUAUAGCAGCAUUAGAUUGAAGGUAAAGACAAAGAGCUAUGUAUUGUACGGUAAUCUCGUAAGAGACGGCGACGGCAAUGCGCCAAUAUUAUUGAAGCCACUCUUAUUACGGCAAUUAUUAAGUUACCCGUUUAACGUGAAUAGGCAACUCGAAAACUUCGACUUGGACUUUAUUUGAUGACUUCGAAAUCCGAAACUUAACUCUAAUGUAUUUGUAUAUGUUGAGCAUUCUAAAAUUUUCAUUCAAAAUUCUCCUCUGAAAAAAUUUCAACUCGUGCGUAUUGAGAAAAUCGAAUAACGUCUCUAACACAAAACAAUUUCAGAACCGACUUUAGGAUAAAGCGAAGAGUUUUAAAAGUAUUCCGAAAGCAAAAAUAACACGUUGUGAUAUCCUUGCUAUGACAAAAUGUCAGGCGCCCUUCUGUAUAGCAGUGUAAGUACCAUUAUUACAUUCGUCAAGUAAUGAUAGGAAAUAUACAGGACAGGAUUGUGUACAACGGCGUGGCGCACCCCUCUAUAUACGAAUUCCCACACAUAUAAUUAAUAUAUAUAUAUUAGGUGUUGAAAAAAGUAACCCAACAGUUUCCGUCGUUGCAACAAAUCACGCCACAAGUAGCGAUUCCAAUCAAAUACUUAACGCAGAAGGCUAAUUCAUCAUACUUGACUUUCAAUGCAGACACCAAAUUUGGCUGUAAAUGCGCUGGCCAAGAACUCAAUCACCUCCGAGUUACAGAGUAACCGAAAACGUGUAUAAUCAAUCCCAACUGAUGCUUGCUUUUAAGCGCAGCACGCUGCAAUCUCAAGGCCCAUGUACUUGCGUUGAAAGAAACUGUAUUCUGUUCACAGUUGGGCCAAAGAAUGCAAGCUUGAAUACAAUUAGUGUUGACGGCAAAGUCGUCAGAAUGUCCAGGUCGAAGUUUCCGGGGUACUUAUUAUCAUUAAACGGGUAAUAAUUAACAACUCAACAAUUAAUAAUUGUUGUUAAUUAAUAUUUGACUCAAUAUUGUGUGAAAUUUCAAUCAACUAAAGAUGUUAUUAGGACAUUGUCCGACUUUUGCGUCACGUCUCUGCGGACCGGUAGUAACCUUUCCGCGGACCGG